CUGACCGAGCGACGCCGCGUGAGCGAUGAAGUGUCCUAUGGAUUGUAAAGCUCUGUCAGAUUGGGAAGAAAACUUCGCGAUUAAUACCCGCGAAGCUUGACGGUACCAUCAGAGGAAGCACCGGCUAACUCCGUGCCAGCAGCCGCGGUAAUACGGAGGGUGCGAGCGUUGUUCGGAUUCACUGGGUAUAAAGGGUGCGCAGGCGGCCUCGUAAGUCAGGGGUGAAAUAUGACGGCUCAACCGUCAAACUGCCCCUGAAACUGCAAGGCUUGAGUCCGGGAGAGGGAAGGUGGAAUUCCUGGUGUAGCGGUGAAAUGCGUAAAUAUCAGGAGGAACACCGGUGGCGAAGGCGGCCUUCUGGUCCGGUACUGACGCUGAGGCACGAAAGCUAGGGGAGCGAACAGGAUUAGAUACCCUGGUAGUCCUAGCCGUAAACGAUGGGCACUAGGUGUCGGAGGAGUCUACCCCUUCGGUGCCGCAGCUAAUGCAUUAAGUGCCCCACCUGGGGAGUACGAUCGCAAGGUUGAAACUCAAAGGAAUUGACGGGGGCCCGCACAAGCGGUGGAGCAUGUGGUUUAAUUCGAAUGCAACGCGAAGAACCUUACCUGGGCUUGACAUGCAGGGGACAGGUGCAGAAAUGUACCCUUCUU
rnacentral:rRNA from 1 species